UGGGGGGAGCAAACUAACGAACUUAAGAACACACCACAGCACCUCGGUGUUGCAGGGAUGAGCUGCCUCCCUCUCUGCACAGGCUGCUUCCAUGUCUCGCCCCUCUGCACUGCCCAGCAGGGAUUUUGGAUAUUCUCUCUUUGCUGCUGGGCUGUUCCCAGCCAGCAGCCAAAGCAGACGAAGCAUUGAAGGCCAAGGAGAGAAGUGAAGAGGAAGCCAAGAGAAGAAAGGAAGAAGACCAAGCCACCCUCCUGGACCAGGUGAAGCGAGUGAAGGAGAUCGAAGCCAUCGAGAGCGACGCCUUCGUCCCACAGACCUUCAGGUCCAGCAAAGAGGUCAAAAAGGUACAUUUUCCU